GCGGGUUCUGUGUGAGACAGCCAGUGCUGCCAAGCGCUUGCUUGAGCUGCAGCAUUGGAGCAGGAAGGGGCGGGCGGCGGGUUUGUGUUCUGCGGCCACUGCAGCCUAACGCUUCCUUGGGCCACAAGCCCUGAACUAGAGAUGGCCACGCGCUGAAUGCGCUUUUGAGCAUGCGGCUUGAAUACGCCCACACAACAGAAGACAACGCAGCAAGAUUGUUCUUCAAGUUUUUUUAUUUUACUGUUUGCUUCACGAUGAGCGGAAUAAGACAUAAUUCACCCCAAAAAGAUGUGAUGUGGUUGAGGAUUUGAGAUUUGGAUUUCCUCAGAAAAAAAGAAUGAAGCACUUUAUUCAGCAGAGAUCAUAAACAUGAGUAAGUCUCUUUUUUUAUUUAUUUAUAUACUUGUUUCAGUUUUCACAUAACGUGUAAACAUUUUACUAGUUAGACUUUUUCCAAACUAUAAUUCCUGACUAAAUGUAUAAUCAAGUGAAAUAUUAUGACGUUUCAAUAACAAUAUACACUACUAUACCAUUCAAAAGCUUGAUGUAAAUAAUAUAAAUGUAACAAAUAAAUGGAACUGUAACAAAUGUAACAAACAAUGCUGUUCUUUCAAUUUAUCCCCCCUAAAAACCUUAAAAAAAUAUUCUCAGCUCUUUUCAACAUUAAUAAUAAUAAUAAUAAUAAUAAUAAUAAUAAUGGUAAUAAUAAUUUCUACAGUUUUUUGUAGAAAAUAAGAUUGUUAAAAGGAUUUCUGAAGGAUUGUGUGACUGGAGUAAUGAUGCGAAAGUCAGCUUUGAUUGUUCCUAAUAAACUGUUUAACUGCACUCACAAGUGAAUAUUAAAUUAUGUUGUGGGAUAAUUAAAUAUAUUCUAAAUAAACUACAAACAUAAAAUGAUAUACAUUUAUUUUGUCCUCACAUUCUUUCUUGUAACUCUUCCCUCUCAGUCACACAGCUGACUGAAUGGCUCAUUAUGCAGCUCAUUAAGCAGGCCUUUGUCUUCUCAGGUGUGAAUUCAUGAUAGUUGACGCCUACUCGCAUAUGACUUUUACCAACAAAAAGUGUUUUAGAAAAUUUAAAUCAAUAUAUUGUUUUCUGUAAGUGAGUAAACAAGAUGAUUUUCACAUCAUUUAGAAAAAAAAAAU
ensembl:lncRNA